AACGUAGGUCCCGAGCGUUAUCCGGAUUUACUGGGCGUAAAGCGUGUUCAGGCGGUCUAGCAAGUCGGGCAUGAAAUCUCUCGGCUCAACCGGGAGGGGUUGUCCGAUACUGCUGGGCUUGAGGGCAGCAGAGGGUGGUGGAAUUCCGGGUGUAGUGGUGAAAUGCGUAGAUAUCGGGAGGAACACCAGUGGCGAAGGCGGCUACCUGGCCCAUUCUUGACGCUGAGGCGCGAAAGCUAGGGGAGCAAACGGG
rnacentral:rRNA from 1 species